rnacentral:rRNA from 1 species
AUGAACGCUGGCGGCGUGCUUAACACAUGCAAGUCGAACGAAGCACUUAUUUCUGAUUUCUUCGGAUUGAAAGAGAUUUGUGACUUAGUGGCGGACGGGUGAGUAACGCGUGGGCAACCUGCCGUAUGCAGGGGGACAACAGUUGGAAACGACUGCUAAUACCGCAUAAGCGCACAGUGUCACAUGACAGAGUGUGAAAAGAUUUAUCGGCAUACGAUGGGCCCGCGUUGGAUUAGGUAGUUGGUGAGGUUAACGGCCCACCAAGCCGACGAUCCAUAGCCGACCUGAGAGGGUGACCGGCCACAUUGGGACUGAGACACGGCCCAAACUCCUACGGGAGGCAGCAGUGGGGAAUAUUGCACAAUGGGGGAAACCCUGAUGCAGCGACGCCGCGUGAGUGAAGAAGUAUUUCGGUAUGUAAAGCUCUAUCAGCAGGGAAGAAAAUGACGGUACCUGCACAAGAAGCCCGGCUAACUACGUGCC